CCGUGCAGCCAAAGUCAGGAGAGCCCCAGGGAGCAGAUGGUUUGUCUGCUGGGUCUGUGUUACUGUGGGGGCACUGCUCAGCUUGGCUGCCUGCCACGCUGCAGGGCCUGCACAUCCCCACAGGGACAGGGGAGCCAGCCCAGGCGGCAGGGGUUGUUUGCAUGCUGAGGGACGACAAAGCUAUUGCAGCGUGGGUCAGGAAGUCUGUGAUGCAACAGGAACCCCCAAGGUGCUGUGACGUGUCACCUCCCAUCCCUGCAGAGAAGCAGCUUCUCCUUUCUGGUGGGAAGUGCCGAGGCCUGGGGCUGGGGGAGGCCAACAACACCCACACUGUGGCUCCUGCCUUGCAGAUCUGCUGCCUGCCACGGCAGGCCCUGUGAGUACACAUCUUCCAGGCAAGGUUCUGUCCAGCUGGCAGAAACAUUUGGAAAGCAUUUUCCUCGAUUCUUGUAAAAUGCCAUUUUUCUUUUCUUUUCAAAAUCUUCCCCAUCUCUGAGUUGCAUCCCGAGUCUCCUUAUAAAGCCAUCACUUGCCUGCCUGCCUGGCCAUUUCUUAGCUUUUCAUGCAUCCUGGGAGUGAGCUGAACACAAGCCUUCCUGUUUCCCUUGCUGCAACUCAGCACCCUUUCAGCCACGGCGAACCUGCAAGUGUCUCGUCAACUUUUUGCUACUCUUGAUAAAAACCCUGUGAAAAUCUGGCAGCUGCGUGAGCUGCAGACUCAGCAAGGUGAGCAACAUCUGGCAAUAGAUACAUUUGGCCAGAAAGGCAACCUGGAAAAUGAGAAGGGCCACGUAGUGCUGUGGGAACACUUGCACGUCCCACAGCAUCUGGCAGGUUGUGGUUGAAUGUGAAGCUAUCCUUCUCCUCUCCUGCAAGACAGAGGGGAAGCAGAACCCACUGGACAUCUAUUGCUUGAUGGAAACAACUUUUGGACUCUGCAGCUAGAUUUUUUACUUUUUUUAAAGACUGUUGUGAAAGUAGUAGUUGCUCAAAGCAUCUCACAACUGUUUUUUGGACAACAUAGACUAAGCUCUUGGUGCUCUUCACUGGACAACACUUUUCCCAGUCUUAGAAGAUCAAAAUGGGUUUAAGCAUGCAGGAGCCUAGAGGUGUAAAAGCACUGAUUUUCCAAGUAACCCACACUGUGAGGUCUGCUUAAAUAUUUGAGCACUGAGUCACCUGUACUUAAAAGAGAGCAAUUAAGGAAACUAAAUAUGUUCUUGAAGGGCUGAAUAAUUCCUUCACAUCUGUUUCCACUACAAAGAUGGCUCUGGAGGGGCUCACGCAGAUCUUGCCCUUUUCUGGACCAAGAGAAAAUAGCAUCAGAGACUGAGAGAGGAGCAGCUGGGACAACCAGACUGUGCUUUGUGCAAGUUCACGUUCAAGACGUGGCUGCAGGCAUCCGGCUAACAGUGGAGGAAGUGGCUUAUCUCUGUGGCUCUGACACCCCCUAGGACGUGGGUGAGCAGGUGGUUAGCAGUGGCAUGGGAUGGGGUGCCAGUGACAUGCCUUGAUCUGCCACGGUAACCUCUGGGGACAGGUAGAAAUGUGCUGAAACUGCAGUGAGGCUCAAGAAGGAGGAGAGGCAGGUGGAAGACCUGAAGGAGGAAGCAAGGGAUUCAGCUGGAGGGUAGAAAGAAAAGGAGCUGACAGGAAGGGGUUCCUGUGCCAAGGAUGGUGCCAUAAAGAGGUACUGAGGGGUGAAA